rnacentral:rRNA from 1 species
AGUAAUACAUCGGAACGUGUCCCGUAGUGGGGGAUAGCCCGGCGAAAGCCGGAUUAAUACCGCAUAUGCUCUACGGAGGAAAGUGGGGGACUCGCAAGGGCCUCACGCUAUGGGAGCGGCCAAUGUCCGAUUAGCUUGUUGGCGGGGUAAUGGCCCACCAAGGCGACGAUCGGUAGCUGGUCUGAGAGGAUGAUCAGCCACACUGGGACUGAGACACGGCCCAG